AUUGAACGCUGGCGGCAGGCCUAACACAUGCAAGUCGAGCGGAUGAUGGGAGCUUGCUCCUGGAUUCAGCGGCGGACGGGUGAGUAAUGCCUAGGAAUCUGCCUGGUAGUGGGGGACAACGUUUCGAAAGGAACGCUAAUACCGCAUACGUCCUACGGGAGAAAGCAGGGGACCUUCGGGCCUUGCGCUAUCAGCUGAGGCUAGGUCGGAUUAGCUUGUUGGUGUGGUAAUGGCUCACCAAGGCGACGAUCCGUAACUGGUCUGAGAGGAUGAUCAGUCACACUGGAACUGAGACACGGUCCAGACUCCUACGGGAGGCAGCAGUGGGGAAUAUUGGACAAUGGGCGAAAGCCUGAUCCAGCCAUGCCGCGUGUGUGAAGAAGGUCUUCGGAUUGUAAAGCACUUUAAGUUGGGAGGAAGGGUUGUAGAUUAAUACUCUGCAAUUUUGACGUUACUGACAGAAUAAGCACCGGCUAACUCUGUGCCAGCCGCCGCCGUAAAAC
rnacentral:rRNA from 1 species